GGGCCCGCACAAGCAGUGGAUUAUGUGGUUUAAUUCGAAGCAACGCGAAGAACCUUACCAAGGUUUGACAUCCCGAUGACCGGACUAGAGAUAGUUCUUUCUCUUCGGAGACAUCGGUGACAGGUGGUGCAUGGUUGUCGUCAGCUCGUGUCGUGAGAUGUUGGGUUAAGUCCCGCAACGAGCGCAACCCUUAUUGCUAGUUGCUACGCAAGAGCACUCUAGCGAGACUGCCGUUGACAAAACGGAGGAAGGUGGGGACGACGUCAAAUCAUCAUGCCCCUUAUAUCUUGGGCUACACACGUAAUACAAUGGCACUUAACAAAGGGAAGCAAAACCGCGAGGUGGAGCAAAUCCUCAAAAAGUGUCCCAGUUCGGACUGCAGUCUGCAACUCGACUGCACGAAGUCGGAAUUGCUAGUAAUCGCGGAUCAGCAUGCCGCGGUGAAUACGUUCCCGGGCCUU
rnacentral:rRNA from 1 species